AUUGAACGCUGGCGGCAUGCUUUACACAUGCAAGUCGAACGGUAACAGGUUAAGCUGACGAGUGGCGAACGGGUGAGUAAUGCAUCGGAACGUGCCCGAUCGUGGGGGAUAACGCAGCGAAAGCUGCGCUAAUACCGCAUACGAUCUGAGGAUGAAAGCGGGGGACCGUAAGGCCUCGCGCGAUCGGAGCGGCCGAUGUCAGAUUAGGGAGUUGGGGGGGUAAAGGCUCACCAAGCCAACGAUCUGUAGCUGGUCUGAGAGGACGACCAGCCAGCCUGGGACUGAGACACGGCCCAGACUCCUACGGGAGGCAGCAGUGGGGAAUUUUGGACAAUGGGCGAAAGCCUGAUGCAGCAAUGCCGCGUGCAGGAAGAAGGCCUUCGGGUUGUAAACUGCUUUUGUACGGAGCGAAAAGGCCCUCUCUAAUACAGUGGGCUCAUGACGGUACCGUAAGAAUAAGCACCGGCUAACUACGUGCCAGCCGCCGCCGUAA
rnacentral:rRNA from 1 species